CCAAUAGCGUAUAUUAAAGUUGUUGCAGUUAAAAAGCUCGUAGUUGAAUUUCGGGAUCAAUACGUCGGUCGCGCCUCCGGUACGUACUGGCGUUAUUGGUUUCUCUCUUCUGACGAACCACGAUGUUAUUAAUUUGGUGUCAUGGGGAAUCAGGACUGUUACUUUGAAAAAAUUAGUGUGUUUAAAGCAGGCUCACGCUUGAAUACAUUAGCAUGGAAUAAUGAAAUAGGACGUUUGAUUCUAUUUUGUUGGUUUCUAGGAUCGACGUAAUGAUUAAUAGGGAUAGUUGGGGGCAUUAGUAUUCAAUUGUCAGAGGUGAAAUUCUUGGAUUUAUUGAAGACUAACUACUGCGAAAGCAUUUGCCAAGGAUGUUUUCAUUAAUCAAGAACGAAAGUUAGGGGAUCGAAGACGAUCAGAUACCGUCGUAGUCUUAACCAUAAACUAUGCCGACUAGGGAUCGGAUGAUGUUGAUUUUUUAAUGACUCAUUCGGCACCUUACG
rnacentral:rRNA from 1 species